GCCCGGGUGGCGGAAUUGGCAGACGCGCCAGGUUGAGGGCCUGGUUCCGGUUAUACGGAGUGCAGGUUCGAUCCCUGUCCCGGGCA
rnacentral:tRNA from 3 species